rnacentral:rRNA from 1 species
CCUACGGGAGGCAGCAGUGAGGAAUAUUGGUCAAUGGGCGGGAGCCUGAACCAGCCAUGCCGCGUGCAGGAAGACGGCUCUAUGAGUUGUAAACUGCUUUUGUACGGGGGUAAACGCAGAUACGCGUAUCUGUCUGAAAGUAUCGUACGAAUAAGGCUCGGCUAACUCCGUGCCAGCAGCCGCGGUAAUACGGAGGAUUCAAGCGUUAUCCGGAUUUAUUGGGUUUAAAGGGUGCGUAGGCGGUCGGAUAAGUUAGAGGUGAAAUCCCGAGGCUCAACUUCGGAAUUGCCUCUGAUACUGUUCGUCUAGAGAGUAGUUGCGGUAGGCGGAAUGUAUGGUGUAGCGGUGAAAUGCUUAGAGAUCAUACAGAACACCGAUUGCGAAGGCAGCUUACCAAGCUACUUCUGACGUUGAGGCACGAAAGCGUGGGGAGCAAACAGGAUUAGAUACCCGAGUAGUC